CACAGCUGUUUGCAAGAGAUUAGAGACUGAAGGCCUGACAACCAUCACGCAAUGCCUGUGAAAAGACAAGAGGUGGAAUCGCACUGCUGUUCUUGCACAGUAGUGAGUCACCCAUAUUCAGCAUCUUCAUUUCAUGUUACCAGGAAACCAGCAAAAAAUAGUGAAGACAAAAGACAGCAAAUAUUUCCCUGGAAGCAGCAUUCUGUCAGAUCUCUCACUCUUUGGCUAAGAAACCUUCUAAGGUGAAUAACACUGCAAAGCGUGUGACCCAAUUAAUGCUCUCUCUGAAUGGGUAUUAAGAU